rnacentral:rRNA from 1 species
AUGCACUGGAUGGCGUGGUGGAAGAUGUGUGUUCCAAAAGACCAAGGUGGAAUGGGUUUCCGUGAUAUACACUGCUUUAACCUGGCUUUGUUAGCGAAACAAGUUUGGCGCCUCUUGGAAAAUCCUGAAUCGUUAUGUGCAAUAAUUCUAAGAGCAAAGUAUUUCCCGAAGGGCGAUUUGAUGAGCGCGGUAUUAAAAAAGGACUCCUCUUUUACGUGGCAAAGCAUUAUGGCGGGAGUGGAUUCACUCAGGAAUGGCAAUAUAUGGAGAGUCGAAAGAGGAGAAAAUAUUGACAUAUGGAGAGAUGCAUGGAUCUCAAAUUGUGCAGAUAGAAAAAUUAUUACACCGAGAAGGGGGAAUAUCUUGACGAAAGUUUCUAAUCUUAUUGACCCAAUCACGAAUUGUUGGGAUGAAGAUUGGGUGAGACAAACUUUAUGGCCAAUUGAUACCCGUAGAGUCCUAGCGAUCCCGAUCCCUAUGCACAAUAUGUCGGACUUUAUUGCUUGGAGCUAUACAAAAAACGGUUUAUACACUGUACAAUCAGCGUAUGUGGAGGAAUGGAAAAAGCAACAUGGGAGGAAAUUGGAAUACUCAGAUGGCAUGGGUAGAAAUAAGGUCAAUCCUAUUUGGGGUAAGAUCUAG